rnacentral:piRNA from 1 species
UCAAAGGUAUCGAGGACAGAAACUGACAGG